UAGGGAAUCUUCCGCAAUGGGCGAAAGCCUGACGGAGCAACGCCGCGUGAGUGAUGAAGGUCUUCGGAUCGUAAAACUCUGUUAUUAGGGAAGAACAAAUGUGUAAGUAACUAUGCACGUCUUGACGGUACCUAAUCAGAAAGCCACGGCUAACUACGUGCCAGCAGCCGCGGUAAUACGUAGGUGGCAAGCGUUAUCCGGAAUUAUUGGGCGUAAAGCGCGCGUAGGCGGUUUUUUAAGUCUGAUGUGAAAGCCCACGGCUCAACCGUGGAGGGUCAUUGGAACCUGGAAAACUUGAGUGCAGAAGAGGAAAGUGGAAUUCCAUGUGUAGCAGUGAAAUGCGCAGAGAUAUGGAGGAACACCAGUGGCGAAGGCGACUUUCUGGUCUGUAACUGACGCUGAUGUGCGAAAGCGUGGGGAUCAAACAGG
rnacentral:rRNA from 1 species